rnacentral:rRNA from 1 species
AGUUUGAUCCUGGCUCAGGAUGAACGCUGGCGGCGUGCUUAACACAUGCAAGUCGAGCGAAGCACUUAUGCGGAAGUUUUCGGAUGGAAGCGUAAUUGACUGAGCGGCGGACGGGUGAGUAACGCGUGGGGAACCUGCCUCAUACAGGGGAAUAACAGUUAGAAAUGACUGCUAAUGCCGCAUAAGCGCACACUGUGGCAUCACAGGGUGUGAAAAACUCCGGUGGUAUGAGAUGGCCCCGCGUCUGAUUAGGCAGUUGGCGGGGUAACGGCCCACCAAACCGACGAUCAGUAGCCGACCUGAGAGGGUGACCGGCCACAUUGGGACUGAGACACGGCCCAAACUCCUACGGGAGGCAGCAGUGGGGAAUAUUGCACAAUGGGGGAAACCCUGAUGCAGCGACGCCGCGUGGGUGACGAAGUAUUUCGGUAUGUAAAGCCCUAUCAGCAGGGAAGAAGAUGACAGUACCUGACCAAGAAGCCCCGGCUAACUACGUG